UGGUAGUCCACGCCGUAAACGAUGUCUACUUGGAGGUUGUGCCCUUGAGGCGUGGCUUCCGGAGCUAACGCGUUAAGUAGACCGCCUGGGGAGUACGGCCGCAAGGUUAAAACUCAAAUGAAUUGACGGGGGCCCGCACAAGCGGUGGAGCAUGUGGUUUAAUUCGAUGCAACGCGAAGAACCUUACCUGGUCUUGACAUCCACAGAACUUUCCAGAGAUGGAUUGGUGCCUUCGGGAACUGUGAGACAGGUGCUGCAUGGCUGUCGUCAGCUCGUGUUGUGAAAUGUUGGGUUAAGUCCCGCAACGAGCGCAACCCUUAUCCUUUGUUGCCAGCGAUUAGGUCGGGAACUCAAAGGAGACUGCCAGUGAUAAACUGGAGGAAGGUGGGGAUGACGUCAAGUCAUCAUGGCCCUUACGACCAGGGCUACACACGUGCUACAAUGGCGCAUACAAAGAGAAGCGACCUCGCGAGAGCAAGCGGACCUCAUAAAGUGCGUCGUAGUCCGGAUUGGAGUCUGCAACUCGACUCCAUGAAGUCGGAAUCGCUAGUAAUCGUGGAUCAGAAUGCCACGGUGAAUACGUUCCCGGGCCUUGUACACACCGCCCGUCACACCAUGGGAGUGGGUUGCAAAAGAAGUAGGUAGCUUAACCUUCGGGAGGGCGCUUACCACUUUGUGAUUCAUGACUGGGGUGAAGUCGUAACAAGGUAACCGUAGGGGAACCUGCGGUUGGA
rnacentral:rRNA from 1 species